rnacentral:misc_RNA from 1 species
CACGUAGGAGGCAAACGUUAUCCGGAUUUACUGGGCGUAAAGCGCGUGUAGGUGGUUCUGUAAGUAGGGCGUGAAAGCUCCCGGCUCAACUGGGAGAGGCCGUUCUAAACCGCAGAGCUAGAGGAUGGUAGAGGGAGGUGGAAUUCCAGGUGUAGCGGUGGAAUGCGCAGAUAUCUGGAGGAACACCAGUGGCGAAGGCGGCCUCCUGGACCAUUCCUGACACUCAGACGCGAAAGCUAGGGUAGCAAACGGG